rnacentral:SRP_RNA from 1 species
GGGAGAGCUAGGCUGGCGCGCUAGUCCUGCGUUGUUACCGUGAACGGACUUCACACGGAGCCGAAGCCCAAGGAAGGGUCCAUCUUGUUUCAGUGGUCCUUAUAGUUUUGCUGACAGUUUGUCCUGUGGGAUGGACUUGUCGGGAAUCAGGUCAGAUCCGGAAGGAAGCAGCCUUCACCUUCAAUCUCCAUGUUCAGAGGGUCACAAGCUCGAGAAACUAUGAGGGUUAAACCAGUGAAGCUUGGCGGGUUCAACUGCGGGCGUGCCCC